CCUUUUUACAAGGUUUACUUACUGCUAGCCCAAAUCUGUACUUUCCUCUGCUUGUGCUUUCAAUUUCCGUGGUGUCUUCACGGUAUCCCACUUACUGGAGCUCCAACUUUGUGGCCUAUUCACCAAAUACAUUCUUUUUACUUUGCUAGCUGGCUUCUGUAACGAUCCCGUCAGGGAAACCUCUCUUCCCUGAUUUUGGUGGGACCUCCACUUGACAGUGCCUGUGGUGUCACAGUACCAAGAACUGGGCAUAGGCCUGCGGGAUUUAAGAAAAAAACAAAAAAACAAAAAGAACACAUACUCGGGUCUUUCGUGUUAUGAGAAUGCCAAAGCUCUACUGAGGUUCACAGAAUAUGUAUCCCAAGUCUACCGAGUGGACUUCCAGGAAGCAUAAUGGAAAAAUGAGUUUACAUUCUCAGCAGGAAAACAGAAACCAAAACUAAGAACUGACAUCAAAGGUGUUGGCGCCCAGGUAUUACCGCCCAUGGGCAAACAGCAAGGCCAGGAAGUACCUUUCUAAAGAACAAAGGCUUUCACAUGCAUCAGCAAGGCUCAGCAGGGGGUAAACACUGAGGGACACAGAUGCAGCCGAAUAUUUCCAUUUCAGCUAUCAGCUGUCAGACACUCACUGAAAUGGAUGAUGGUCACAGACUUCCACACUUUCUCUGAGAAGUGCAUGGCCACAGAAGUAGCUGCAAAGAGUGGAAAGGUUGUGUGGGCUGAAUCAGUGGCAGAAACCACAAAUAAGGUCUUCCCAUGAGGCAAGGUAGAAGUCCUGACUCAUAGCAAAGUGUGCUCUUUGAUGAGUCAGAGACAUUCUUAUUAUAGACUGAGAACAGGAGAGAUGAAGUCUGUUCACAGAUGCAUUGUGAGUGCCAACCUCAGUGUUUUCAAUGUGGUUAUUAUAAACAGGAGAAACAGACAUUCCUGGACAGUGCUGCGCCUUGGUGGUUGGGGCCCCAAAGAGCUCACAGAAUCCGAAAUCUCUGAGGAAGAUCUUGCCCACUGAUAUGAAAGCCCUAAACAAAGAAGGUCAGAAGCCCAGGGCCAAAGCAGUUAAGAUUCGUCAUUUCAUGUGUUCUGCAACACAAGCGCUCUGAAGGGACAGUUCACUGACACAAACAUGGAGUAUAUGACAAGCUGUUCGUCAAGAGAGUGAAGAAGACAAAGAACCCAGGGAAGAGAUCGCCAGGAGUCACCAGCUGUCCUCACUGAGAGCCUAUACCCCCAAGCCUAAGUCCAGGCAAAAAAGUCUUUUAUUGUCUCCAAAGAGCCCAAAUUGUAAUUGUGAUCAGAAUCUUGUUUCUGGAGCUAGGAACCUGAGGUCUCACUUGUCAGCCUGCUACACGGUUCCCUUCUCAGACACAUAGAUGCCAUCCGCAAACUUUCUGAUAGCCCUGUUUUUAACUCUUGUGGCUUGCUGAAUUUGAAACAAGUUCAGUAUCAUUUCCUUCAAGGAUUAAUUCAUCCUUCUGGGCUUGAGAGACAGAACAAGCAACGCCUGUUCUCAUCCAAACCCUGCAGAUGUAUUUUUUUACCCAAGAAAUUUCGGAUUUCAACCACAGACCCGUUCUCCUGAAUAACGACGUUGAUAGGGAAGUGAGCAUACACAGACCUCAUCUUG
rnacentral:sRNA from 1 species